rnacentral:lncRNA from 1 species
UUAUUCUUGGAAUAUGUCAAAAAGGAUAUCAUACUCCAUCAAGAAUAGGUUAUUUAGAAAAUAAAUGACAUGUCAAUUGGCAUAAAAAAUCUUCAAAGACGUUUGAAAUGCCAAUUUGGCUGGUACAAAUGCCAAAUAAAUUACGGCCGAUAAAGAAAACAUCAUGUAGCCAGAGAAAAAUGGACUUGAAAGAACUACCUGACAGUAAAUAGAAAAUAAGUUAGUUUAGUCGGCAAGGCACAUAUAAUCGCACCAAAAGGAAAGAAAUCCAUCUCCAUCGAUCAAAGUUGUUCUUCUUCUGUCGAGAUACGACGAGCGAGCUAUCUUUGAAAGAACUACCUGACAGUAAAUAAGAAGAUAGUUUAGUCAGCAAGGCACAUACAAUCGCAC